UACGUAGGGGGCGAGCGUUGUCCGGAUUUAUUGGGCGUAAAGCGCGGGCAGGCGGCCCGGUAAGUCGGCCGUGAAAGCGCCGGGCUCAACUCGGCGAGGACGGGCGAGACUGCGGGGCUUGAGAGAGGUAGAGGGCGGUGGAAUUCCGGGUGUAGUGGUGGAAUGCGUAGAGCUCCGGAGGAACACCAGUGGCGAAGGCGGCCGCCUGGGCCUUUUCUGACGCUGAGCCGCGAAAGCGUGGGGAGCGAACAGG
rnacentral:rRNA from 1 species